rnacentral:rRNA from 1 species
GUGGGGUAACGGCCUACCAAGGCGAUGACGGGUAGCAGGCCUGAGAGGGUGGUCUGUCACACUGGGACUGAGACACUGCCCAGACUCCUACGGGAGGCUGCAGUCGAGAAUCUUCCGCAAUGGGCGAAAGCCUGACGGAGCGACGCCGCGUGGAGGACGAAGGCCCUCGGGUUGUAAACUCCUGUCACGGGUGAUGAAAGUUCAUGUGUUAAUAGCGCAUGGAUUGACGUAAGCCCGAAAGGAAGCACCGGCUAACUCCGUGCCAGCAGCCGCGGCAAUACGGAGGGUGCAAACGUUGUUCGGAAUUACUGGGCAUAAAGGGCUCGUAGGCGGCUGUGCAAGUGUGGAGUGAAAUCCCACGGCUCACCCGUGGAACUGCUUUGCAGACUGCACGGCUAGAGGAUGGUAGGGGAGAGCGGAACUCCUGGUGGAGCGGUGAAAUGCGUAGAUAUCAGGAGGAACACCGGUGGCGAAGGCGGCUCUCUGGUCCAUCUCUGACGCUGAGGAGCGAAAGCCAGGGUAGCGAACGGGAUUAGAUACCCCGGUAGUCCUGGCCGUAAACGAUGGGCACUAGCUAGGGGUCUCCCUGUGGGAUCCCUGGUGAAGCAAAUGUGAUAAGUG